AGUCGAGCGAACAGAUAAGGAGCUUGCUCCUUUGACGUUAGCGGCGGACGGGUGAGUAACACGUGGGUAACCUACCUAUAAGACUGGGAUAACUUCGGGAAACCGGAGCUAAUACCGGAUAACAUUUGGAACCGCAUGGUUCUAAAGUGAAAGAUGGUUUUGCUAUCACUUAUAGAUGGACCCGCGCCGUAUUAGCUAGUUGGUAAGGUAACGGCUUACCAAGGCGACGAUACGUAGCCGACCUGAGAGGGUGAUCGGCCACACUGGAACUGAGACACGGUCCAGACUCCUACGGGAGGCAGCAGUAGGGAAUCUUCCGCAAUGGGCGAAAGCCUGACGGAGCAACGCCGCGUGAGUGAUGAAGGGUUUCGGCUCGUAAAACUCUGUUAUUAGGGAAGAACAAAUGUGUAAGUAACUGUGCACGUCUUGACGGUACCUAAUCAGAAAGCCACGGCUAACUACGUGCCAGCAGCCGCGGUAAUACGUAGGUGGCAAGCGUUAUCCGGAAUUAUUGGGCGUAAAGCGCGCGUAGGCGGUUUCUUAAGUCUGAUGUGAAAGCCCACGGCUCAACCGUGGAGGGUCAUUGGAAACUGGGAAACUUGAGUGCAGAAGAGGAAAGUGGAAUUCCAUGUGUAGCGGUGAAAUGCGCAGAGAUAUGGAGGAACACCAGUGGCGAAGGCGACUUUCUGGUCUGUAACUGACGCUGAUGUGCGAAAGCGUGGGGAUCAAACAGGAUUAGAUACCCUGGUAGUCCACGCCGUAAACGAUGAGUGCUAAGUGUUAGGGGGUUUCCGCCCCUUAGUGCUGCAGCUAACGCAUUAAGCACUCCGCCUGGGGAGUACGACCGCAAGGUUGAAACUCAAAGGAAUUGACGGGGACCCGCACAAGCGGUGGAGCAUGUGGUUUAAUUCGAAGCAACGCGAAGAACCUUACCAAAUCUUGACAUCCUUUGAAAACUCUAGAGAUAGAGCCUUCCCCUUCGGGGGACAAAGUGACAGGUGGUGCAUGGUUGUCGUCAGCUCGUGUCGUGAGAUGUUGGGUUAAGUCCCGCAACGAGCGCAACCCUUAAGCUUAGUUGCCAUCAUUAAGUUGGGCACUCUAGGUUGACUGCCGGUGACAAACCGGAGGAAGGUGGGGAUGACGUCAAAUCAUCAUGCCCCUUAUGAUUUGGGCUACACACGUGCUACAAUGGACAAUACAAAGGGCAGCUAAACCGCGAGGUCAUGCAAAUCCCAUAAAGUUGUUCUCAGUUCGGAUUGUAGUCUGCAACUCGACUACAUGAAGCUGGAAUCGCUAGUAAUCGUAGAUCAGCAUGCUACGGUGAAUACGUUCCCGGGUCUUGUACACACCGCCCGUCACACCACGAGAGUUUGUAACACCCGAAGCCGGUGGAGUAACCAUUUAUGGAGCUAGCC
rnacentral:rRNA from 1 species